AUAUUGAUGUCGACAUGUGAUAGAUUAAGCUUCCGAUAGAAAGAUAUGUUUUCAACAGCACUAGUUUCCUGAAUAUGAUUUUGUAUGGAUGGGUGAUCUCUACCAUCUCCUGUGAUCGAUGGUGGAAGCUCUAUUUAUGGUCAAAUUAAGCUCUCAUGUUAAGCGUUUAAUAAUAAUGGUGGAAGCUCUAUUUAUGGUCAAAUUAAGCUGUCAUGUUAAGCGUUUAAUAAUAAGAAUUGAUUGGGAACAUCUUCUUGAAUAGAGGUACCAAUAUGGCCUUAAGCCAGUUGAUACGUCUCAGGUCGGUAUCAGUAUUAGAAGGUGGAAGCUCAUGAGGAACUAGUUUAACAUGCGUAUUUCCAAUUGAGUUAGUUGAUCUAUUGUAAGGAAGGGUUGUUGAUCCCGAAUAACCCACCUGAGUAUGAGCAUCAGAAACCAUGAAGUUGUCUUUUUUCCAUAGUAUUGUUCUUAGUAGCGCGCGUCCCUUCUUUGGUUAGUUGUCUUAUAGGGAUUCUUACUAGAAACUACAUUUGAGUCCCAAUUUAUAUGUUAGACUCGGUAGCCAUCAACGACAUUUAAUGCAUCAAGUACUGUUUAGCGUUGGGAGAGCUGUCGACGCCUGUUUAGUUGGGUUCUAACUAAUCUGGUCAUUUUUGGACGGUGCUGGGAAAGAAAUAUGACUAGAUAAAUGCUUUUCUUCCAUUUCAUCUGAUCUGGUGUUUGUUUGGUUCCUUUUCUAAUGAUUAAGUCGUAUGUUAAGAUGCCAUGCUGUUGUGUGGGGAUUGGGUUCUCAUCUAAUCCAAUAGAAAUGCCUUUGUAAGACACCCAUGGUGUUCUGCUCUCUUUUAUCUUUAGUUAUUGUGUCGACUGUUCUUCUAUAUGGAAUCAACUGAGUUCAUGCUUCAUUUCUUUGAAAAAAAGCUUCUGAACAGCCCCUUCUCAGGUCUGGUUUAGAUGUGGGUUUUCACUUAUCCUGUUAGGUUUUCAUGUAAACAGGUGCUGGAUUUUAAAUUCUCUUAAAGCUUUCUUUAUGAAUUUGAACAUAUUUCCUUCUGUAUUAUCUGGAUUGCAUUUUUUUUUUCUUUUGAAAGGACUGUUGAGCUAGCCUUUCGAUCAUCUACUGUCUAGAUUGGUUUCUGGUUUCGUCCCUUUUCAUUUCCUUUCAAAUAGGUGCUUGAUUCUAUUGUUUGCUUCUGUAUUGCAUUAUGAGUUUAGAAUUAUGGGCUUACUGUUUUUUUGUUUUCUCUUCUUUAGUUGAGGUCUAUGGUUGUGGGUUCUUACUCCUGCACUUUGCUUGCGCUGGAAAGCCUUCUCAGACUUUGGUUCAUGGCAGGUGCAAUACAAAUCGUGGGCUUCAUGGGAGCAUUUGGAGCAUAUAAAUUAGUCCCAAUUGUUCCGUCGUUUGCUUUGCACUUAUCCUUUUCUUCUUCUUCUUCUUUUUUUUUUUUAAUUUUUCUUAGCAUGUUUUAUAUUUUUUUGUUUUAAGCAUGUGAAUUUCGAUUCUUAUGUGAUAGAAAUUAAUUUGCCAAUGCAGUUCAUUUUAUUUGUUUUUAGUUUCUUUGAUUUUGUAUUCCUAUUUCAUUUGUUUAAAACAUUUCCUAGAAUUAGUAAAAAAAUGUAAUUUUAUUUUUCAAUUUAUACAAGUUGUGCAGCAAGUGCAUUUCUUAGAGGAAUGAGAUGAGUUUAAUCAAGAGAUGAUUAAAAACGAUGAGGCUCGAUAUAAACUUGGUCCAAAAAAGAAAAAAAAAAUACAACCUUAGCAUUGGGUAAGAAACACUAUCUUCAUUGUUUUGGUCUUUUAACAUGUUUUUCCGUAUGUGUUUCUUUGUGACUCUCUGGUAUCUGUCCUUUGUCUCUAUGUUGCUUCCCUUUUUAUUUCUAUUUUUCCUCGCAUGCUUUUCUGCUUAUGAGUAUUCAAAGGCUUAAAUUGGCUCAUGUUUUAGCAUGGUUUGGCCUGAAGGAUUCUGUUGAAUGUGUUUGCUGUUGUUGCAAACAACCUUUUCCAGGUUUGUCUUUGGUCACCUGUUUUUUUUUAUUGCCACGUUGGUUAUUGGUUUUUUUCCUCUGGAAAUAUAAAUUAUGUUUGCCUUUUCUGCUUUUCAUCGGUUACUAUUGCUCUUUGCCUUUUCUACUCUCCAUCAGUUACCAUUUUCCUUUCCAUUUUAGCUUUGUUGCUUCAAUCGCAAUUUGUUUAGUGGUUCUCACCUUUAUUGGUGUUCACUUGCACUAACUUCUUGGUUUGCUUGAAUAAAUCUUUUCCUCCUUGCUUUACUUGCAGAGCUAUUUUCCCUGCCCUUUUCACUUGCUUUUUACUCUUUGUCCAGAUUUUCUUGCAGACGACUGCUCGCUUUUUAGGUUGUCCAGCCCCUCCCCUUGUAGCAUCAAAGAUUCAAUGUGCCCAAACAUUUCUCCUUAAGGUUUAAAGAUUGAGAAGUGCAACCUCAAAAAACUUCAUCAACUAUGUUAAUGAGACAUGAGCAUUAGGGUGCGCAAGGAUUUUAAUCAUGACAUUAUAAGCUCAUAAGUUAUGGUAUGCAGUGAUAGCGUUUGCCACCCUGUGAUGUGCAGUUACUUCUGUGUAAACACAUGAAAGAAAUAGAGCAGCUUUAUUUUUUCCUUCAGAACCAGUUUCCCGUGAUGGUUAUUUAUCUAAGCUGGAAGUUUGGAAACUAGUAGUGUAAUUUCUUGCAUUAUGUCAUUUGGUGCCCUUCAUUUCAUAGCAAGGUGUCGGAGAGAACUGUACAUGUGUUAUCGAACUCAAUUUUUUAGCUUUGUCAUAUGGGGAUUAGAUAGAUUUGCACAUUUUCUGAUACUUUGAUUCUUUGCACUCUUGAAUCUUUGGCAUACAAGGUUUUUAAGAUUGUUUGUUCCAACCUAA